UACGGAGGAUGCAAGCGUUAUCCGGAUUCAUUGGGUUUAAAGGGUGCGUAGGCGGAGUACUAAGUCAGUGAUGAAAUCCUGCAGCUUAACUGUAGAACUGUCAUUGAUACUGGUAUUCUUGAAUGCAGUUGAGGUAGGCGGAAUGUGUAAUGUAGCGGUGAAAUGCUUAGAUAUUACACAGAACACCGAUUGCGAAGGCAGCUUACUAAACUGUGAUUGACGCUGAGGCACGAAAGCGUGGGGAGCAAACAGG
rnacentral:rRNA from 1 species